rnacentral:rRNA from 1 species
AUACGAAGGGGGCAAGCGUUGUUCGGAAUAACUGGGCGUAAAGCGCACGUAGGCGGAAUGUUAAGUUAGAGGUGAAAUCCCAGGGCUCAACCCUGGAACGGCCAUUAAUACUGGCAAUCUAGAGACCGAGAGAGGUGAGUGGAAUUCCGAGUGUAGAGGUGAAAUUCGUAGAUAUUCGGAGGAACACCAGUGGCGAAGGCGGCUCACUGGCUCGGUACUGACGCUGAGGUGCGAAAGCGUGGGGAGCAAACAGGAUUAGAUACCCUAGUAGUCC